AACACACACAGUUAGGCACUGAUGUUGCAGAAUUGUGCAAUUCAUAGCUGGUAUUUAAAUAUAGGCCGAUACCCGAAAUUCAGGAGAUCGCAAGGUAUUCUUAUAAGUGAACCAUAAAGAAAAAGGAAUAAAUAAGAUAGUUGCUGAUCCUACGCGUUGUGGGAAUCUAAGCAACGCCGUUCUCGUUUGACCCUGACUGAUAGGUCAGAAUGGCUCGGGUUAAUGACCGAUUUGGAAUAAAAACAGAUAAGUUUUACGUUAUACCGGCCUUAUUGAGCACACGACCAAUAUAUACACAUUUUCACAGAAAAACGCCUAGCCCAACACAAAGUUGUGGCGCUCGAACAUGUGGAUCUCACGGAUGAGGAUGGAAUUACGAAGACGCUUUAACGAGGAUGGAAUGGACGGCGUAACGACGAGAGAACGACAACGAAUGAACGCCCCAUGACCGCAAGGCGACUGUGCGAUAAUGACGCCCUGUCAAACGUAGCUGGACAUCGGCACUCGACUAAAUGGCCUAGGUAAGUGACAAGACCUAGUGCACCAAGUAAUCUGUACUUGCAACAGUUUAUUAACGACUAUAAGGUGCAACAUGGGAGGCGUACGUCGCUACACGACUUGGGCGUGCUGCGACUACGCUGGAACAUCUUGGGAAAGUCUCGCCGUUACAUCAAUUACGCUUUUCGGGCCAUGAAGCAGGCGAUUUCUCGAUUUGCUGACGAAAUCCUUCGCAAGCGCAAUCGGCACAGCCGUCUUGCGAGAGCUACGGCUUAAACUGUGCGAAAUUCAGUGUAGUGCGACAAAAUUGCACAAUUAAAAGAAUUGAACAUUUCCGGUACGAAGAAUAAAAAAACGAAAACGAUGCGCGUAUAGUGUGUGUUAGUGUCAGGUC